AGCUACCCAAAUUGCCAACUCUAGAUCAAGGACCUGUGAGGAGUAAUAUGUCUACUCUACAACUGAGUAACAAUAUACCCAUUUGGAAGUAGCUGUGUUUUCCCUAAGCCUGGCUGACUCAUCUCUCUCUGCAGUAGGUUACGUGCCCAAAUCUUUUUAAUCCUGUCAAAAGUGAAGUUGGUGAAUGGAGGCACUGGGCUGAUAAGAUAUCUAUGGUGUCUGGCUCUGGCUAACACUGAAAGGGAAAGGGACACGACCCUAUGAAGAGACACAUCUCUCAGCAUUAGACAAAUUAGAGAAUACAUGCUUUGAAGUGAAGGAAAGGCGAUCUCUCAGCAACAGUAACACAAGUGGCUGCAUUUCCUGAUUCUGGAUUAAGUUCAAGAUUUCAAAUACGACUGGACUCGUUUCUGAUUAGAAAGUUUGAUAUUUAUCGUAGACUUUCCUGUCUUCCGUAUCCAAUGGGAGUGAGAUUGUAAAAAGCACAGCCAUGCACUGCAGGAUGUACCUGGGGUCAUGUUGCAGCAGGAGGAAUACUAGAUUACCACCCAGAAUGCCUCUUCGAGCUCAAGAAAAGGAUCCACUACAGCAGGAGCUCUGCCAUGCUUUAAGUGAUACAGCGUAUGUUCCUCACACAACAAACUAGCUCUGUGAGCUGGUGCUAAGAGAUGAUCCAGCUA